AUUGAACGCUGGCGGAAUGCUUUACACAUGCAAGUCGAACGGCAGCACGGACUUCGGUCUGGUGGCGAGUGGCGAACGGGUGAGUAAUGUAUCGGAACGUAUCCAAUAAUGGGGGAUAACUAGUCGAAAGAUUAGCUAAUACCGCAUACGCCCUACGGGGGAAAGCUAGGGACCUUCGGGCCUGGCGUUAAUGGAGCGGCCGAUAUCUGAUUAGCUAGUUGGUGAGGUAAAAGCUCACCAAGGCGACGAUCAGUAGCUGGUCUGAGAGGACGACCAGCCACACUGGAACUGAGACACGGUCCAGACUCCUACGGGAGGCAGCAGUGGGGAAUUUUGGACAAUGGGCGAAAGCCUGAUCCAGCCAUUCCGCGUGAGUGAAGAAGGCCUUCGGGUUGUAAAGCUCUUUCGCAAGAGAAGAAAACUUACCCUCUAACAUAGGGUGAGGCUGACGGUAUCUUGAUAAGAAGCACCGGCUAACUACGUGCCAGCAGCCGCGGUAA
rnacentral:rRNA from 1 species